rnacentral:sRNA from 1 species
UCCUGAAGACUUGCAUCUCCAAUCUACGAUGGCUCGGACAAGACGAUCCCCAGGACCCAAUUUAUAGGCAACAUUAUGCGAGAGAGCACAUGUAUGCACAGAGCUAUAUAUAUAUAUAUAUAUAUAUUACAUCACCAGCCUUUUUCAGUCUGUCUGUCAAGGAUUUUCCAUGACUGGUUUACAUAUUUUCCUCUGCCGACGGCCCAAUGACAGAUCCACACUCCAUUCCAAAUAGAACUAUUUCGCUCUGAACGCCCUGAUAACGCCCUGAUAAUGCCGCAAAUAACCUUCACGCAUGGAGAUCUCCAUCAGAGUCGGAACCACGGCGGAUUGUUGCAAUAGCUGAACUGGGAACAGUUAGGCUGGAGUGCCAGGAUACUGGGAGGCUCGAAAAGCGCACUUCACUUCAGCAUGGAAGAGUGAAUGAUACUGCAGCAGCAGCAGCAGCAGCAGCAGCAGCAUGAGAGCACGGCGGAGGCGGAGGCCUGGUUGUGGUAAAGUUAUACAUCCUCAAUGGGACCCUUAAG